UACGAAGGGGGCUAGCGUUGUUCGGAAUUACUGGGCGUAAAGGGCUGGUAGGCGGCCAACUAAGUCCGACGUGAAAUCCCAAGGCUUAACCUUGGAACUGCGUCGGAUACUGGAUGGCUUGAAUUCGGGAGAGGGAUGCGGAAUUCCAGGUGUAGCGGUGAAAUGCGCAGAUAUCAGGAAGAACACCCGUGGCGAAGGCGGCUCUCUGGGACGGUACUGACGCUGAGACGCGAAAGCGUGGGGAGCGAACAGG
rnacentral:rRNA from 1 species